CUCUGGCAUCAGAAAAGGGCAAAGAUUCCCUAAAGGUCACCAUACUUAUACAUGUGAUCCCUCUACCCUGCCACAGCAAAAUGGAUCAGGAUGGGAU
rnacentral:lncRNA from 1 species